AGCAGCCGCGGUAAUUCCAGCUCCAAUAGCGUAUAUUAAAGUUGUUGCAGUUAAAAAGCUCGUAGUUGAAUUUCGAGACCGGUCUACUGGUCGUGCUUUUGUACGUACUGGUAUAAUCGGUUUCUCUCUUCUGACGAACUAUAAUGCCAUUAAUUUGGUGUUUUAGGGAAUCAGGACUGUUACUUUGAAAAAAUUAGAGUGUUUAAAGCAGGCUCACGCUUGAAUACAUUAGCAUGGAAUAACGAAAUAGGACGUUUGAUUUUAUUUUGUUGGUUUCUAGGAUCGACGUAAUGAUUAAUAGGGAUAGUUGGGGGCAUUAGUAUUCAAUUGUCAGAGGUGAAAUUCUUGGAUUUAUUGAAGACUAACUACUGCGAAAGCAUUUGCCAAGGAUGUUUUCAUUAAUCAAGAACGAAAGUUAGGGGAUCGAAGACGAUCAGAUACCGUCGUAGUCUUAACCAUAAACUAUGCCGACUAGGGAUCGGGUGAUGUUAAAUUAAUGACUCAUUCGGCACCUUACGGG
rnacentral:rRNA from 1 species